UGUGCCAAAGUAAAAACUUUAAAACAGGGUGGAGGGGAACGAACAUUUGUUUUCUUCAUCUAUCCAAAAGACACUUAUAUUCUGGCCUUUGGAGUAAGAAAUAUUAGAUACUUUGGAGAGAAAGCACCCAGACUACACUUGAGUAGAGAGUUCGCAUACCUCUAGGAGUCAAACUUCUAGUGCUGUCUUGAUGUUCCCAAAGACAAAGUGGUAGGUUUCGCAACUCAUUUUAUCUUCUGGCUUAUGUCAGGGAAAUGUUUAUUAUCCCCAAAAUCUUGAAUAUUAUUUCUUGUUUCCUCCUCCAUUAGAUAGCAACUUCCUUUUCUCCCCUUGAAAAGCCUUGCAUUAUAGGAAUUAUAGCACUGCAAAUAUGGUUUCAGUAUUUUCCAGUCCCAGACCUGUGCUUUUGCCAGCUUUUACCCAGUGAACUCUGAGCUCGACUCUCUUAGUCCAUACAAAAAUGAGGAAAGGUUGCUCUACCCAUUAUUCAGCACUGCUCUAGUAUUUGGGGACUCCUAUUUCCUGAAUAUCACCGAUAGCCUUAUUUUUAUGGGUAUUUCUAUCAUUUUCACAUCUUCCUUGUGCUUCUCUGGUGGGAAUAGUCUCUAAAUGUUUCUUUUGAGAUAAAAGUCUCUAAAUUUUUCUUGUCCUCAAUAUCUAGUUUUCCUGUUCCUCAAAAUCUGUUUAUUUCUUCCCCCUCUUUCUUUUGUUUUGUUAUAUGUAGUACCUGGGGCUGGAUGUAUAUCUGUGCUGCAAUAGCUAUUUGCACAUUUAUAAAUAAAGCAAAUUGGAUUACGAGAACUUUCGUCAAGUUCAGGAGAAUUUAGAUCAAAUUUUUCCGUCUGAACUCAUUGUUACCUUUCUCAAAAUAUAAAGACUUGCCUUCUAAACUUGACUUUUUUUUCUUCACUCUGCUGUUAAUGAAUCUAUAAGUUGUUUUAUUAUGUUCUGUUUUGGUUGUCACUUUGGCAUCCCAUGUUGCAGUUUAAGAUUUUGUAGUAGGUGGCUUUCAGAUAAAUCUUGAGCAGAAAUUUCGCCAGUAGCAGACAUGUUAUUUUACCUGUUCUUUGAUCAAUAGUUCGUCAGCUUAAUGUAGAAAUUAUUUCAUGUCCUGGUCCCUAGUUUUUGGCAAUGUUUCUUGAAAUGGUAAAUAUUAUUGAUGCCAAAACUCAAAACUAGCACUAAGAAAGUGCUGUGAUUACAUCCAAAAAGAGCAAAAGAAAAGUGAACCCUCGCUACCUAGACAGUAUCUAUGAACUAUAACAGGGUUUCAGCAUCCUCAACUAUAUCCAUUUUGCACCAGCAAGAGACUGUAAAUAUAAAAUCAGAUUUGAGUUUCCAGAUUGAGCUCUUUCGUCCAUCAAAAUAUCUUCUAUUCCUGUCCUUCCAGAUACUCCAUCAUAUGCUAGCAGGUUCUCUAGAGUUAGACAAGCUUCCUUGAUGACAAGCCAUUUAAAACUCAUUACUUUGACAGGAGCUCUGGAAUUCCAUAUCUGUUUCUAAGGACCAACAUUAAUCUGAUUCCCAGCAUUCGGUUAAACCUUAUGGAGUAGCAUUCUCUUUAUUGAGAGGAAGGUAUUUUUGCCAUGUUGGACUACCUGGGUGGACUGCCAUGUCAGCUCUAAUAGCAAAGAUAAUGUUUUAAGGCUAUUUGUGUUCCAAAACAUAGACGACAAGGGUGGUUUUGAUUCCAAACAUAUUUAAAGGGUAUAUAUGAGCUAUUUCGAAUAGUUCGAGGGUGAUUUUGACCCUUUUCCGUUAACUUUUUACUGCUUUUGUUAAUGUAGAGUUCAAGAAAGCAAAAAAUAAAAUAAAAAUCUUGUAGAAUGUUUUUGUUUUUGUUUUAUUUUGAGGUUAGCAUGGUUAGUAAGACGAUAAUCUUUUUUGAGCAACUU